rnacentral:pre_miRNA from 1 species
GUUAGCUAAUAUUUGUAUGGAGUGGGAUCGUUUGCGUACGUUUGCCGCUAGGGGCGCUGUUCCAACUGCAUACAAAAUUGCGUUA